AUUGAACGCUGGCGGCAGGCCUAACACAUGCAAGUCGAGCGGAUGAAGGGAGCUUGCUCCUGGAUCCAGCGGCGGACGGGUGGGUAAUGCCUAGGAAUCUGCUGGGUAGUGGGGGAUAACGUCCGGAAACGGGCGCUAAUACCGCAUACGUCCGGAGGGAGAAAGUGGGGGAUCUUCGGACCUCACGCUAUCAGAUGAGCCUAGGUCGGAUUAGCUAGUUGGUGGGGUAAAGGCCUACCAAGGCGACGAUCCGUAACUGGUCUGAGAGGAUGAUCAGUCACACUGGAACUGAGACACGGUCCAGACUCCUACGGGAGGCAGCAGUGGGGAAUAUUGGACAAUGGGCGAAAGCCUGAUCCAGCCAUGCCGCGUGUGUGAAGAAGGUCUUCGGAUUGUAAAGCACUUUAAGUUGGGAGGAAGGGCAGUAAGUUAAUACCUUGCUGUUUUGACGUUACCAACAGAAUAAGCACCGGCUAACUUCGUG
rnacentral:rRNA from 1 species